GUUUAACGGCUGUCUGCGUGAUCAUCGAGAAAGUGCAUUGAGGUAAGGAAAUAUCAAGUCAAUAAGUCAAUGUUUAAAACGCGUAACAUUAUUUUAUUCACACAUAAAAUGUUUUAUGUUUAAUAUGCAUCGUGCUUUUUCUGUUAUUUGUGAACGUAUCCGUUAUAAUGGUUGAUUCGCUAUUCCACGGCAUGUUCCCGCCGAAAUUGGACUACGGUUACAUUAAUAUGAUUGUAAUAUGAAUAUUAAUCAAUUAAUAUGAUAUCUGGUCUUAUCAACUUAACCACUUGGUUGUUUAUUGCUUCAGAAAAGACUUAAAUGUAAGGGCUUUUUGGACAACUGUUCGGUAGAAAAGCGUUGAUAUCGUAUCGUAGUUCAGUCAGUGAAUAUCUGAUAGGUCUUACAGGCGCCACAGACACCUCUGUCAGUCAUUUGUAAAGAGGAGCAGCACGGCAGCUGGAUGAGUGCGGUCAGUUAAUUAAUGCUGCUUGCUUAAUUUCAUGUUACUGAUUAAGUGUUUAUACUUAACGUUAGAUGAGAUGUUGGUGUUUUAUUGCUCGCCAAUUUGCAAUAACUGCAUUUAUCAGGCAUCACACGUUACGUCACACGCUUAUGCUUGUAUCUGCGGUCCCUCGCGCUGUAUCCAUGAUUUAAAGCGGAAUAAAACUCUUAACUCCUUUGUAAGGAAAAAGUCAAACAGUGUAAGUUGUUGGCAUGUGCUAUUUGAAUUGAAAUGAAGUGUAAUGGUAUUAUUUUGCUUACUUCUCUUGAUGAAUAAUUAGCAAGUUUAAUGGAACUUGAAAAUAUUAGUUAUCCAGACAAAUGUGCUCUUGUUUUCAGUGUAUUUUUAUAACUCUUUUGUAAUGUCUUUGUUAUCAGAGCCCUUCAAAUUAAAAAUAGUGAUGGUGAUCUUGUCAAUGCUGAGAUUUUAAUGCAUCAACAGCCAUUACAUCUGGCCGGAUCAGGAUUGAACAAGAAUCAGACAGCAAGGGUUGUCACAUCAGAAACGUAAUAACACAAACAUAAGAAACUUCACAGGGCUGUGACAGUGACAGUAUUUUACCACCGCAAUGGUAAUGCACCAAUUCACCACUGUGGUGCGGUGGUUAUAGAAUGUGUUUGUGUGAGGGGGGAGGCGGCAAUUUCUUUUUCCGCCGGUGGGUGCUCAUCACAACCUCAAGCUUUACUUCGCAAUGCCAGGUGCUCUAGAGUCUGGAGCGCUCAAAGGCUUUGAAGAGGUGGAAAGUGGCGCAGUCACGUUUUCGUGUGAAUUGUGAAGUUAAAGGCAGAUCACUGUGCAACUUGGUGAAGUCAUGUGUCUUUCCAGAUGGCCAAAUCUGUACCCCUCAAAAAAACUUUAUUAAAUGCCAUGAUAGACAAGAUGAGCCUUAAGAGGAGAUUUGGGAAGAUGCUGUUUCAUAAGUCUUUGCUUUGCCAGAUUAUUUGUGGUUGGGGUGUCUGCCAACGUGAUGCCUUGCUGGUCUGGUUUGAGUUUGAAGUCUCUCACAGACAGUCCAGAAGGUCUGGAGUCCAUCUUAGCUUUCAUUGAUGCUGUCAUCAUUUUUUAAGUGCAUGAGCCAGAAUGGACGGGUGGUGGUGGCCAUAAGAAGACUGUCAACUAAACUAGGGUGACCAUACGUGCCAUUCUUCCCGGACCCGUCCUGUCCAGUCUUUUGGAACUCGUAUUUGUCGACUGCAUACGUCACAGAGGAUUAUUACUAUUAUUACAGAAAAGCAACCGUUACAUUUUAAGGUAAGAAGAAUGAAACUACGAUUGUAUAUCUUAUGUUAUUAACUGAAUGGCGUAUGCGGUCAACAAAUACGACUUCCGGAAGACGCACCGAAAUCCUGGACGGGAUGCGUCCGGGAAGAAUGGCACGUAUGGUCACCCUAACUAAACCAACAACAAAAUUCAUAUUUGCAGUUAUAAAUAAAAUGACUUUUAAACCUGAUUUUGUUUUCUUAUUUUAUGAUUUCAUUCUAUAUUUGGAAUAUUCCAUUUUUGCACUACUAACUGGAAACUGUUUGAAAGAAUGUGUUUUUAUUAAAAGACAAAUUUCAAAGGUGAAUCAUAUGCCGGCUGGGAUAUCAAAAUAGCAUUAAAAUGACAUCAACAUCAUAACAUCCUGAUAUCAAAUAGAUGUAGAAUUGACAUCAAAAUGACAUCAGCAGGGGUCAAAAUCUUGACAUCAAAUUGACAUCAACACUUUGACGUCAAAAUGACUUUCAUUUUUGACCUAUUCUGUGACGUAAUUUUGACGUCGAUGUUUGAUGUCAAAUUGAUGUUAAAUUGACAUCAAAUGCCCGCUGGGAUGCUGCUGUCGGUUAGUUUUUUCCAUUAGUGAGAUGUUGCUGCUUCGCUAGCUAACAUACACUGACACAAAUUUCAUGUCGCAGG